UGGGGAAUCUUGGACAAUGGGCGAAAGCCUGACGCAGCAACGCCGCGUGAGUGAUGAAGGAUUUCGGUUCGUAAAGCUCUGUCAAGUGGGAAGAAGUUAUUAUGUGUUAAUAGCACAUAGUAUUGACGGUACC
rnacentral:rRNA from 1 species